AAGCACCGGUUAACUACCUGCCAGCAGCCGCGGUAAUACGAAGGGUGCGAGCGUUAAUCGGAAUUACUUUAAAGUAAAGCGUGCGCAGGCUGUUUGUCAAGUCAGAUGUGAAAUCCCCGAGCUCAACUUGGGAACUGCGUUUGAAACUGCCAGACUAGAAUAUGUCAGAGGGGGGUAGAAUUCCACGUGUAGCAAAUGAAAUGCAUAGAGAUGUGGAGGAAUACCAAUGGCGAAGGCAGCUCCCCUGGGAUAAUACUGACACUCAUGAACGAAAGCGUGGGGAGCAAACUGGAUUACAUACCCUGGUUUUCCACGCCCUAAACGAUGUCUACUAUUUGUUGGUGGAUUAAAAUCCAUGAGUAACGCAUCUAACUCGUGCAUGAGACCGCCUGGCGAGUACUGUCGACUGAUUAGAACU
rnacentral:rRNA from 1 species